GCUGAUUCGUUCUUCCAGUUCAUUUCAGGGCCUGCAGAGUUGGGGCGAAACCUCUUGUCUAGCUUGUAGGCUUCUGUUUCUACUCGAAAUUCACUCAAAGCACCAUCGAAUACAGCAGAGAUCAUAGACAUGGCAACAGGUACAGUUAAGUGGUUCAGUGACGAAAAAGGCUUUGGCUUCAUUACGCCUUCCGAUGGCUCCAAGGAUGUCUUCGUGCAUCACAGCGCCAUCCAGGGCAGCGGCUUCAAGUCGCUCGCCGAAGGUCAGAGCGUGACGUUCGACAUCGAAAAUGGUCCUAAGGGGCCCAGUGCGACCAACGUCAAGCCCGAGUAAGGCCCGAGUCUCAGGCGGCGAUCGCCCGGGAUGUAGAGUCCCGCCCCGUGCGGGACUCUCUG
rnacentral:other from 1 species